rnacentral:tRNA from 1 species
UGCGGAUUGGUGUAAUGGUAGCACGACUGACUCUGGAUCAGUUUGUCAGGGUUCAAAUCCUUGAUCCGCAGCCA